CGCCUGUUUAACAAAAACAUGUCUUUUUGAUUAUAAUUUAAAGUCUAACCUGCCCAAUGAGGAGUUAAAUGGCCGCGGUAACCUGACCGUGCAAAGGUAGCAUAAUCAUUAGUUUUUUAAUUGAAAGCUGGUAUGAAUGGUUGGACGAGAGAGUGACUGUCUCAGUUUAAUUUAAUUAGAAUUUUAUCUUUAAGUAAAAAAGCUUAAAUGAGUUUAAAAGACGAGAAGACCCUAUAGAGUUUUAUAUUUAUUUAUAUAAGAAUACUAUAGAAUCUAUUAUGUUUUUAUAUAAAUAUGUAUUAUGUUGGGGCGACAGAAAAAUUGAAUUAACUUUUUUUAUAUUAAACCAUUAAUUUAUGAGUUAGUGAUCCGUUAUAGAACGAUUAUAAGAUUAAGUUACCUUAGGGAUAACAGCGUAAUUUUUUUUGAGAGUUCUAAUCGAAAAAAGAGUUUGCGACCUCGAUGUUGGAUUAAAAUUUACUUUUGGUGUAGGGGCUAAGGGGUUAGGUCUGUUCGACCUUUAAAAUUUUACAUGAUCUGAGUUCAAACCGGAG
rnacentral:rRNA from 1 species